rnacentral:lncRNA from 13 species
UGAGGGAGGACAUCCCAGGGAGAUGUAGUUAAGUGUGUGUCUGACCCCACCCAAGCCCUGGAGCUGGGAGGAUGAGCUCUGAGGGAAGGAGACAGAUAAUGGGACCUUUUGUGAUUCUUAGAUGCUUCAGAUCCCGAUCCCAGGGAAGUGGGCCCCUAGAACCUUAAUCUUAGGAAGUUAAGUGUUGUGAUGUCAUCUCAGGAAUGCAAUUAUAAGGCUCCAUCCUGCUGCAGAAGGACAUGUGAAGUGACAAACACAGUCUGCCAGAAUUGGAGGUGCUAAGGGUGGAUGGGGUGUGGGGCUUGGUGAUGGGUUCCCAGCUCCCACAGCUGCCUCUUGCCUGAGCGCUGUCGGGUAUCUCUGGGAUCAGCUACAGGCUGGAUCUGUGGAUUCGGAACCUCGUCCCAACACUGACAGACUCUCCACUGUCCCCUGUGGCUGCACCCCCACAUCUCCAGUUCUGCCCCCUGCCUGGGGCCAGGGCCCAGCCGUCAUGACAGACACCCCAGUGGAGGAAUCUCUCUUCCAGAUCAUCCACUGCUUCCACCAGUACGCGGCCCGGCAAGGCGACGUGGAGACCUUGUCCCUGCAGGAGCUGCAGGCCCUGCUCAUGGACAGUGUGCCCCGUUUCAUGGACAGCUUGGUGCGCAGGGUCUGGGAUCAGGGUGGGGGUUCAAGUGGGGCCAGGGCACCGGUACAGGGUGGGUUCUGGGGUGGCAAGUGAGUGUCGAAAGCGAAUAGUGAGGGUAUUACACUGGGCACUGUCUCCUAUGAGAUUUUUUUGUGUGUGUGACAGAAUCUGAACCUCUGCUUCCCAAGUUCAAGUGAUUCUCGUGCCUCAGCCUCCCGAGUAGCUGGGAUUACAGGUGCCCACCAUCACACCUGGCUAAUUUCUGUAUUUUUAGUAGAGAUGGGGUUUUACCAUGUUGGCCAGGCUGGUCUCCAACUCCUGGCCCCAAGCAGUCCCCCUCGGCCUCCCAAAGUGCUGGGAUUACAGGUGUGAGCCACUGUGCCUGGCCCUGAGAAUCUUUAAUUCAGGAGAUGGUGGGAUCUGUGGCCACAGAGGGGUGUUCCCAACACAGCUGUGUUUCUUGUCCUUCCCUGUCCCCGAGCUCUCUGCCUGGCCUCACUCCAGCCCAAACUUAGUGGAUUCCUGAAACUCAGUCCUAACCACAAACCUGUGGAUGCCUCUGCCCCUCACCCAUGCCACCUGUCCAGCCCUUUGAGCUCAGCCCCUUCUCCUGGGCUGCACAAGCCUGGCCCUCCUGCCCCCAUGCCUGGAGGGAGGAUGGCGGGG